rnacentral:lncRNA from 1 species
AUUAGAAUUAGAAUGGGCCAAUUUUUGGGUUUUAGGUUUAUUUGGGUUUGGGUGGGAAACUGCUGUAUUUAUUUAGGUUUACUCCGCCGCAGCGUACGAAAUCAGUCAUCCGCAAGCAGCCGCCUCCGCGCCGCUGCUGCACCGACGACAGCGUUUCUGCAUUCAGUAAAAGCAGAUGAUAAGUCAGCCUUAUUAUUUCCAGAGGUGUAAAAAGGAGAUGCCAACAAACAUAGAUUGCCUCCCCACAGACCUAUUGUUCGAAAUCCUCCUCCGUUUUCCGGCCGAUCAUCUCUACGACAGAGCGAUGCUCGUCUGCCGGCGGUGGUACCACAUUAUCCAUUCUCGUACCUUCAUCAACGUGCACGUGCAGAUGCACGGUGCUACCUAUGGACUCCUCCUAUCAGCCCCAUAUGAAAAAGCUCGGCCUAUUUAUAUAACAGCCACCGCUGACGGCGGAAUCCACACAUCUGUGCUAGCUUACCGCUCCGAUAUGAGAGCUCUUGCUACCAGCAACGGUUUGGCUCUGGAGAUGGCUGUUGGGAAGGAUUGGAGAUAUGACUGCCUCCUUCAUCUUGUGAAUCCUGCAACGAAGCAGUUAUUCCACCUCCCACCAUUCCCUCGAGGCGUAUCCUAUGGCCUGUUCGAGCAUGGUUUUGCAUACUCUGCAGCUUCCUCGGCGUAUAAAGUGAUUGCAC